GCUCAGAUUGAACGCUGGCGGCGCGCCUAACACAUGCAAGUCGAACGGAACGCGGUGCUUCGGUAUCGUGUUUAGUGGCGGACGGGUGAGUAACGCGUGAGUAACCUGCCUUCAAGCGGGGGACAACGGAGGGAAACUUCCGCUAAUACCGCAUAACGUCGCGAAGUGGCAUCACUUUGCGACCAAAGAUUUAUCGCUUGAAGAUGGACUCGCGUCCAAUUAGAUAGUUGGUGAGGUAACGGCUCACCAAGUCGACGAUUGGUAGCCGGACUGAGAGGUUGAACGGCCACAUUGGGACUGAGAUACGGCCCAGACUCCUACGGGAGGCAGCAGUGGGGGAUAUUGCACAAUGGAGGAAACUCUGAUGCAGCGACGCCGCGUGAGGGAAGAAGGUUUUCGGAUUGUAAACCUCUGUCAGCGGGGAAGAUAAUGACGGUACCCGCGAAGGAAGCCACGGCUAACUACGUGCCAGCAGCCGCGGUAAUACGUAGGUGGCAAGCGUUGUCCGGAAUUACUGGGCGUAAAGGGAGUGUAGGCGGUUUGAUAAGUCAGUAGUGAAAGCCAUAGGCUCAACCUGUGGACUGCUAUUGAAACUGUCGGACUUGAGUGAGAUAGAGGCAAGUGGAAUUCUCGGUGUAGCGGUGGAAUGCUUAGAUAUCGGGAGGAACACCUGUGGCGAAGGCGACUUGCUGGGUCUUUACUGACGCUGAGGCUCGAAAGCGUGGGGAGCAAACAGGAUUAGAUACCCUGGUAGUCCACGCUGUAAACGAUGAUUACUAGGUGUAGGAGGAUAGAACCCUUCUGUGCCGGAGUUAACACAAUAAGUAAUCCGCCUGGGGAGUACGGUCGCAAGACUGAAACUCAAAGGAAUUGACGGGGGCCCGCACAAGCAGUGGAGUAUGUGGUUUAAUUCGACGCAACGCGAAGAACCUUACCAAGUCUUGACAUCAAGUGACCGCCGUAGAGAUACGGUUUUCCCUUCGGGGACACGAAGACAGGUGGUGCAUGGUUGUCGUCAGCUCGUGUCGUGAGAUGUUGGGUUAAGUCCCGCAACGAGCGCAACCCUUACGUUUAGUAGCUACAUUAAGUUGAGCACUCUAAAUGGACUGCCGUUGAUAAAACGGAGGAAGGUGGGGAUGACGUCAAAUCAUCAUGCCCUUUAUGACUUGGGCUACACACGUACUACAAUGGCGU
rnacentral:rRNA from 1 species